rnacentral:rRNA from 1 species
CAGAUUGAACGCUGGCGGCGUGCUUAACACAUGCAAGUCGAACGCGAAAGGGACUUCGGUCCUGAGUAAAGUGGCGGCACGGGUGAGUAACGCGUGGAUAAUCUGCCCUUAUGAUCGGGAUAACAGUUGGAAACGGCUGCUAAUACCGGAUACGCUCAAGAUGAACUUUUUGAGGAAAGAUGGCCUCUGCUUGCAUGCUAUCGCAUAGGGAUGAGUCCGCGUCCCAUUAGCUUGUUGGCGGGGUAACGGCCCACCAAGGCAACGAUGGGUAGCCGAUUUGAGAGGAUGAUCGGCCACACUGGAACUGAAACACGGUCCAGACUCCUACGGGAGGCAGCAGUGGGGAAUAUUGCGCAAUGGGCGAAAGCCUGACGCAGCGACGCCGCGUGAGGGAAUGAAGGUUUUCGGAUCGUAAACCUCUGUCAGAAGGGAAGAAACUACGUUGUGCUAAUCAGCAGCGUACUGACGGUACCUUCAAAGGAAGCACCGGCUAACUCCGUGCCAGCCGCCGC